rnacentral:rRNA from 1 species
AUGUCAUUAAUUUGGUGUCUUGGGAAUCAGGACUGUUACUUUGAAAAAUUAAGAGUGUUUAAAGCAGGCUCACGCUUGAAUACAUUAGCAUGGAAUAAUGAAAUAGGACGUUUGAUUCUAUUUUGUUGGUUUCUAGGAUCGACGUAAUGAUUAAUAGGGAUAGUUGGGGGCAUUAGUAUUCAAUUGUCAGAGGUGAAAUUCUUGGAUUUAUUGAAGACUAACUACUGCGAAAAGCAUUUGCCAAGGAUGUUUUCAUUAAUCAAGAACGAAAGUUAGGGGAUCGAAGACGAUCAGAUACCGUCGUAGUCUUAACCAUAAACUAUGCCGACUAGGGAUCGGAUGAUGUUAAUUUUUUAAUGACUCAUUCGGCGCCUUACG